UACGAAGGGGGCUAGCGUUGCUCGGAAUCACUGGGCGUAAAGCGCACGUAGGCGGAUCUUUAAGUCGGUGGUGAAAUCCUGGAGCUCAACUCCAGAACUGCCUUCGAUACUGAGGGUCUCGAGUCCGGGAGAGGUGAGUGGAACUGCGAGUGUAGAGGUGAAAUUCGUAGAUAUUCGCAAGAACACCAGUGGCGAAGGCGGCCCACUGGUCCGGUACUGACGCUGAGGUGCGAAAGCGUGGGGAGCAAACAGG
rnacentral:rRNA from 1 species